GCUCGGGUGGCGGAAUUGGUAGACGCGCUAGACUAAGGAUCUAGUGGGGUAAUUCCCGUGCUGGUUCGAUUCCAGUCCCGAGCACCA
rnacentral:tRNA from 1 species